CUGCUGCUUCUAAUUGUCCUGCUUCGAGCAAAAUUUAGUGGAAUUGCCCGGCCUCUGCUGCUGCUGCUAGGUAGGUAGUCCUGCGAAAUUGGUAAUGUUAGUUUGGAAACAUUCAAUCAUGUUAAUUAUGGAAACAUUCAAUCAUGUUAAUUAUGGAAACAUUAGAUCAGGAAAUGGGAUUUUGUUACUUUUGGAAACAUUCAAUCAUGUUAAUUAUGGAAAAAUUAGAUCAGGAAAUGAAUUUUGUUAAUUUUGGAAACAAUUCAACCAUGUUAACUUCGGAAACAUUCAAUCAGACAAGAUUUUGGCAACUGGAAUUACUACGGCAUGGAUUAUGGACUCUCACCUGAUCAUCAUCUAUGUUCAGGUUCUAAAAAUAUUCAAUCAGACAGUUUGGACUUGUGGCUGUACUUUGCAAUUUAAAUAUGUUCAGGUUGUAAAAAUGGGACAGCAGUAUAACAUCAAGCAAAACUCUUGCAAAUUUUCAGUUUCGACAGUGUCAAAGCAUACAGUAGUUUUGACAGUAAUUUUGAUAAUUCAAGCAAAUUAAUUUUUACAACCUGAUAAUUUUGAUAAUUCCAAACAAAGAGUUGGGGCAUGCCUGUUUGAUAAACCACUCUAAAAAAAUGACCUGUAAUUUUGUCAUUUACUCCAAAUCACGAAGAAAAGAUACGAAAACCAUAUGUCCAAAGCAUGAAUCACAACAAGAAACUCUAAAGUUGAAUGAUGUGAAGUGAAUGAACUAAAGAAGGACCAAGCAUGUUGUGUGUUGUAUGUCAGGUUUCAGUUAAUCUUCUGUAUGAACUAAAGAAGUGAAUGAUGUAAACAGAGCUUGAUCCCCAGGUUUCAGGUUUCAGGAUGUAGAAAGUUCACUUAACAUAGUUAUUGAUCACCUAGUCAAGUCUGUGAUCACCUAGUCUGUGAUGUGACAAAUGGAGGAGCAUCAACCUGCACCUGUCUGACGAUGCAUUUUUGGGGGUUCACAUAUCAUACAAGUUCAGAGAUAAAAACAAGAUCUCCUAACAAUCUACUCUAGGAUAAAAAUAUAACUCUGUUUAGUGCUAGCUUUCUUCCUAACAAAGUUACUGCUCCUAAAUAUGGACACACUUUUUUUUUGAUUUACACAAGAUCUCAGAGUGAAGGACACUAUGGGGUACUCCUACUCCUAAUGUAGUUGCAGCUACUCCUAUUCCUUCUUCUACUCUAGCUGCAGUAAGCAAUAUCACCAGCCAAACAAUAUCUGCAGUAGUAUCUCAACAAGCAGUACUAGCUGCUAUGGAAGCGGCCAUGGAUGCAUCAAACAAAUUUAAACGAUGCUGCUAUUCAAAAAUUAGAUGGAAAAAGCUCGAGAUAAUUGAUCAUGACUACUGUCACAUGACAGAUUACUCCUGUACAGUACUGUGCCAUUUUUUAAGUGCAGACUAAAUUCUAUAAGUGCACGCUAAUUCUAGAAGUGCAGACUUUUAGUUGUGAGAUUAUACAACAGGAACAUUCAGUCUCUAAUUCAGAUGUUUGCAGUUGAAAAUGCAGCAAUUCAUGAAUCACCUGAAUCAAUCCAGACCACUGCCGAAGAUGUCCUUGAACUGCCACUCCUUCCACCUGAAGAUGUUGCUACUCCUUCAAAGCACAAACUUUCAGACCAGAGCAUGCAGCAAUCCAACAGAAGAUUUCGCCACUCCUUAAACUGCCACUACACACACCCAAUCGUCGGCCUUGAGCGAAGCCGACUUGUUCCUCACAUCAAACUCCUGUAGAAAUCCAAGAAGAUGAAGAAAUUGGGUGGACAUGGCCCGACCAAUCCAAGACGAUAAAGAAGAAAUUGCAAUGGGCGCAGUAGAUCGAAGGGAGGAGAAGUGGAAAAAGGAGACCUUUGACUCCGGCGGGCUCCUGGGU
rnacentral:lncRNA from 1 species